CACUGCUCUGACGGAUGCUUUUAUUAGACCAAGCCGCUGAGGACUUGAGGGUUUUGCUCUCCUGUCUGACUCGUGUAAUGGUGACUCUGGAUAACCAAUUCUGACAAGCGCACGUACUUCUCUUCUGAGCGAGACGGCGCUGCCACUUUCGAGUGUCUGCCUUAUCAGCUAUCAACCGUUCGUUAUGCGCGACCGAUGGCUUUGACGGGUAACGGGGAAUCAGGGUUCGAUUCCGGAGAGGCAGCCUGAGAGACGGCUACCACGUCCAAGGACGGCAGCAGGCACGCAAAUUACCCAAUCCCAGUAAAUGGGGGAGGUAGUGACGAAAUCUAACGAUGCGGGCGCCCUUUCUGGGGCCCCGCAAUCGGAAUGGGCACUUUCUAAACAACCUGUUGAGAACCUACUGAAGGGCAAGUCUGGUGCCAGCAGCCGCGGUAAUUCCAGCUUCAGCAGCAUCUAUUAAAGUUGCUGCGGUUAAAAGGCUCGCAGUUGAAUGUCUGUAUCGAGCGCAGGUCAGGUGGACGUUGGGGCGUGGAAGUACGGGCAGUUGGAUGUCCGUGGGGCCUUCGUGCUCAACGGCUCCUUCGGCUUUUCCACACACCCCCGUCCGUGACAAGCCUCCUCGCUCGGGUACAUAACGGGAAUCGGUCAAACGGAGUGUGGUUGGAGGUUGGGGUGCGUGGCUUCUGUUGCGUGCUUCUUCUUUCGGCUGCGUUAAGCUCCAUCGGUUUCACGGUCACCUUGAGUAAAUCAGAGUGCUCAAAGCAGUCGUAGGGGCCUUGCGCCCUGUGAACAGUCUUGACGGACUGACUUGGUUUUGCAUGGCAUGUCGGAAGACGACGUCGUGUGCUGGCUCAGAGGAUAAAUCAGUGGUACAAGCCAGCCUCGACGUAAUGAUUAAAAGGGACGGUCGAGGGCAUUGGUAUUGCGAGGCGAGAGGUGAAAUUCUGUGACCCCCGCAAGACCUCCUGAAGCGAAAGCGUCUGCCAAGGACGUUUU
rnacentral:rRNA from 1 species